rnacentral:lncRNA from 1 species
CAUAACCACCAGCAUCAGCCCCAAUAUGACCAUUAAAUUCCCCUCCAAUAACUAACUUCUCACAUUGGGGAAUACAACUCACCAGAUCAUCCAAACACUCCCAAAGCGCCUCUUAGCCUCAUCGUCUAAGCCCGCUUAGCGCGUAAGUGCUGAUGACGUUGAUGAUGCAACCUCCAAUAACCAACUUAAUAGACAUUAACCUAUCAUUCACUCGCCUAACCUCGAC